rnacentral:rRNA from 1 species
AGCAGCCGCGGUAAUUCCAGCUCCAAUAGCGUAUAUUAAAGUUGUUGCAGUUAAAAAGCUCGUAGUUGAAUUUCGAGACCGGUUUACUGGUCGUGCUUUUGUACGUACUGGUAUUAUUGGUUUCUCCUUUCUGACGAAUCAUAAUGCCAUUAAUUUGGUGUUUUGGGGAAUCAGGACUGUUACUUUGAAAAAUUAGAGUGUUUAAAGCAGGCUCACGCUUGAAUACAUUAGCAUGGAAUAACGAAAUAGGACGUUUGAUUUUAUUUGUUGGUUUCUAGGAUCGACGUAAUGAUUAAUAGGGAUAGUUGGGGGCAUUAGUAUUCAAUUGUCAGAGGUGAAAUUCUUGGAUUUAUUGAAGACUAACUACUGCGAAAGCAUUUGCCAAGGAUGUUUUCAUUAAUCAAGAACGAAAGUUAGGGGAUCGAAGACGAUCAGAUACCGUCGUAGUCUUAACCAUAAACUAUGCCGACUAGGGAUCGGAUGAUGUUAAUUUUUUAAUGUACUCA